GUGAGGAAUCUUCCACAAUGGGCGAAAGCCUGAUGGAGCAACGCCGCGUGAAGGAUGAAGGUCUUCGGAUUGUAAACUUCUUUUAUGAGUGAAGAAUAUGACGGUAACUCAUGAAUAAGCACCGGCUAACUACGUGCCAGCAGCCGCGGUCAUACGUAGGGUGCAAGCAUUAUCCGGAGUGACUGGGCGUAAAGAGUUGCGUAGGCGGUUAUGUAAGCGAAUAGUGAAACCUGGUGGCUCAACCACACAGACUAUUAUUCGAACUGCAUAAAUCGAGAAUGGUAGAGGUAACUGGAAUUUCUUGUGUGGGAGUGAAAUCCGUAGAUAUAAGAAGGAACACCAAUGGCGUAGGCAGGUUACUGGGCCAUUUCUGACGCUAAGGCACGAAAGCGUGGGGAGCGAACCGGAUUAGAAACCCCUGUAGUCC
rnacentral:rRNA from 1 species